rnacentral:rRNA from 1 species
UACGUAGGGACCGAGCGUUGUCCGGAUUCAUUGGGCGUAAAGAGCUCGUAGGCGGCUGUUCAAGUCGAACGUGAAAACUCGGAGCUCAACUCCGAGCCUGCGUUCGAUACUGGACGGCUAGAGUCUGGUAGGGGGAUCUGGAAUUCCUGGUGUAGCGGUGGAAUGCGCAGAUAUCAGGAGGAACACCGGUGGCGAAGGCGGGAUCCUGGGCCAGUACUGACGCUGAGGAGCGAAAGCGCGGGGAGCAAACAGG